UACAGAGGUCCCAAGCGUUGUUCGGAUUCAUUGGGCGUAAAGGGUGCGUAGGUGGCGCCGUAAGUGGGUGUGAAAUUUCGGAGCUUAACUCCGAAACUGCAUUCCAUACUGCGGUGCUUGAGGACUGGAGAGGAGACUGGAAUUCAUGGUGUAGCAGUGAAAUGCGUAGAGAUCAUGAGGAAGACCAGUGGCGAAGGCGGGUCUCUGGACAGUUCCUGACACUGAGGCACGAAGGCUAGGGGAGCGAACGGG
rnacentral:rRNA from 1 species